rnacentral:tRNA from 2 species
AUUUAUAUAGUAUAAAAGUAUAUAUGACUUCCAAUCAUAAGGUUUAUUAAUUAAUAAUAUAAAUA